GGAUCCAGACUUUGAUCAUGGCUCAGGAUGAACGCUGGCGGCGUGCCUAACACAUGCAAGUCGAACGGAGUUACUUUGGUGAAGUUUUCGGAUGGAUCUGAUUUAACUUAGUGGCGGACGGGUGAGUAAUGCGUGAGCAACCUGCCCUUCAGAGGGGGACAACAGUUGGAAACGACUGCUAAUACCGCAUAAUGUAUUCGGGAGGCAUCUUCUGGAUACCAAAGGAGAAAUCCGCUGAUGGAUGGGCUCACGUCUGAUUAGCUAGUUGGUGAGGUAACGGCUCACCAAGGCUGCGAUCAGUAGCCGGACUGAGAGGUUGAACGGCCACAUUGGGACUGAGAUACGGCCCAGACUCCUACGGGAGGCAGCAGUGGGGAAUAUUGGGCAAUGGGCGAAAGCCUGACCCAGCAACGCCGCGUGAAGGAAGAAGGCCUUCGGGUUGUAAACUUCUUUUAAGAGGGACGAAGAAGUGACGGUACCUCUUGAAUAAGCCACGGCUAACUACGUGCCAGCAGCCGCGGUAAUACGUAGGUGGCGAGCGUUAUCCGGAUUUACUGGGUGUAAAGGGCGCGUAGGCGGGAAUGCAAGUCAGAUGUGAAAUCCAAGGGCUCAACCCUUGAACUGCAUUUGAAACUGUAUUUCUUGAGUGUCG
rnacentral:rRNA from 1 species